AAAGAAUUAAAACAAGUUGUCUCUAAGAUUCAGGAAAUGGGAGGGACAUCUAUCUUCAUAACAAGCCUUCUGGAAGUGAAAGACCUG